CUCGCCAACAACGCAACUCAGGUUCAGUCCAUUGCAUCCCGUGGUUGCAAUCCAGCUCACCACUAUACCGCCCAGAUUUGAUCCCUCCAAUCCUCCUCGACACGGCUAUGGUGCCAACGAUUGUGCCUCCUUGAAGUUCUCCAGUGAUCCACCAACAAUACCACGUCCCGCGUUCAUCAUUGCUAGUACAAUGCCAUCAUCGACGAGUUUGUAAAAUACUUUCGCUCUGCGAGAGAGGAGAGCAGACCAUUCACCCCACCACCGGUCCAUGUCCAUCCCUGGCCGCCCGCUCCCACCGUGAUCCAGCAACGGUCGUUGCCGAUGCACCACUCCCGGCUCCUCUCUCAUCUCUUCUUCCCCCACCCCAUGCCCCAUUCUCUUGCUCGAGCUCCUCGCCGAUUUUACCGAUCGUUGGCCUCUGAUCUAGGGUUCGCUGCUGCCGGUCGCCAUUCACCUGUGUGCCUCAGGAGGAAACGGCUCCCUGGACCUUAUCCUUCUUCACAUUCUACCUCUACAGAUCAGGAACGCCUCGAUGGCCGUCUCUUCCGUUUCUCCUUUCUCUCCCUCCUUGCAAUACACCGGCCAUGAUUCAGGGAUGGAGAAGGGAGGGAGGUAGAGCCACCAUAUCAAGAGGUAGAGUGAAGGAGCCACGCUUGAGAACUUGGCGUGAGUUACUUUGGUCCAGCGGCUACCAAUGUUCCUUUUUUACUUCAGAGUUCUAAAAUCAUGUUGCCUUUCAAGAAUAAGAGGGAGAAAGGUCCAAACAAUCUUUCAAGAUUUGUCACACUCGAUGGAAACUGGAAGCAUCACUCUCCUUGGCUGAAAUCACAGUGGUCAAAUUAUAGAUCACAAGCUGUAGACGAAUUGUUUCUUCUGAUUUCCCAAUCUUCAGAUUGAACUGACCAAUCCGUGUGAUUGAGGAAUCCUUGUGGAGAAAAAGAAUUCAAGGAAAUCCGCAGCUCCGAAUACAGAGGAUUUCAAGAAAAAAAAAUUGUGCUGGAGCAAGAAAGGGAACAUGGUAAGGAGUGUGCCUACAAGAGUUUCUCUGUUCUCUUCUUAUUGGUUGCCAUAUGCAGCUUGCGGGUCUCAACUUAAUAAAUACAUCAACCGCGUACCGAAGGAAAAACUCAUUACAUGAAUCCUGAGUAGGUAUUUUCAGUCUUUCGCAAUGUAGUUUGUUUAUUUUUCUCUGCACCAUGAUGUGCUGAUAAAAUUUGGAUAAUCAAUCCAAUUUCCAGUGAUGAUGCCCUAGCUGAUCAUGCUUCUUUACCACAAUCAUUUUCCUGACAGUAGUUGUGCAUGCAGUACAUGUUUUCAGUUGAGCGAACCCUCUUUUAGUUAGAGAUCAAAAUUCAAGCCUGACAUGGCAUAUGAAUGCUCCCAGUUUAGCAAAAGCCGUGAUCUUUCCAACUUUGAGAGUUGAAGGAAAUCUCCGGAUAAAAAAUUGAAGAAUUCAUAUAGCACAGUACAGGGUGAGCAUCCACAUGACAGUUCUAAAGUUGUUUUUACCAUAUGGAAGUUCAUAAGUUAUGAUAAGAAUAAAAAUGCAAAGUUUCAAAAACUUAUGUUUCCAGCAUGAUGGCUCCCCUGUUUCUAUGGUAAUCUUUUUCAAAUAUUCUGAUCAUGGUCCUCUAAGCAUUCCUGGUUUGUCACUUGAGCCUGAACCGUGGGUCGCAGAUCCAACGGACAUUGAUGAAAUCCAUAGAAAAAAGCCUAGCUAACUCUUCAUAACAAAUGGACUGAGUUAGUGCGCGCACUCACCGGCCGGUGCUUCUCAGUUUUUUUAACAUGCUAUAGCAGCUAUACAAUAUCAGGUUUAUGGAAACAUAUUUCAAAAUUGGUAAUUAGUGUGUUCUAUUCUCCUUUCCUUGGAUAUUUCUUAUUCUAUUUUAGAAUUAUUAUUUUUCGUCCGCACUUUCAAGUAUUUAUGCGCCUGGGGUCUUUCAUUCUACAGCUGAACAAUUAUAUCUCAAAAUAGCUUGCGCUGCGCCCCCUAUAUUUGAUCCUUCUGCCCUCUUUUAAAUUCAACCUCUAAUUGACGUCUUCUUUCGUUGUUGUUGUAUAUACGUGCACCAAAUUAUACAAAAUGAAAUAUUGUGGAACAGGCAUAUUCAAAACUGUUUUUUGAAGUUAAAUAUCUAAUGUGAGAAGCCUAGAUAUAAGAAAUAUAGGUGUAAGGCGAUUGUUUUGAGGUGUCAAUGCAACUUACAGUACAUGGAUCUGGUUAGAACUUUGAUACUUCUUGCUUUGAUAUGCUGCUACGGUAGCUCAAUACCGAUGAAGCAGAAGGAUUGGUCAUGUCACCAAAUGGGUACCACACACAUAUAGAUUGUUGCUUGCUCUCACGGUCCAUGUCAUCCUCGAUCCAUGUUGGUAUGCAUCCUCUCCCUUUCCUUUCCUCUCUACUAAGUUGUCUCUCCUUUUCCUUUAAUUAUUCAUGUGAUCUUUUUUGCUCUGAGAAGCCCUUCAUGAUGCACAGAAGGAUUCAGUUUCUGAAUUCUUAUCAACAGGUUUCAGUUGUCUAUUGCAAAAAUGUUCUAUGUAUAUCAUGUGAGUUAAAGGGUCAACCAAAUGAUCAUAUAUGUAUUUAUAUAGAAUCAUAUCUAUCUAUUGGCAGCCAUGUCUGAUGCAUACAUCUUUGCUGAUUAAAAAAAUAUGCACAAAGACCUACGUGAAAUAGCUCGAUAAACAAAAAAUACUGCUCGACCGAUUUCUUCCUCUUAUUCACUGUUCCAUUUUAUAACACAAAGCGCUCACAUGGGCUCUCUUGGGCGAGGCGUGUCGCCGCACCUCUGCCUGCUAGUCAGGAUUAAUUGUUGCUAUCUAGAGUAUUUAUUGAAAGAUGUGUGAUCAGAGAAAAUUAGCUCUAAUCCUAGCGUAAUUAUGGGGAGCACACUUGAAAGCAUCGAUGGUAAAGGAUGUUUAGUUUGAAAACCCCAAGAGAUGGGUGGUAAUUUGAGGAAGUAAAUCUGACGCUCCACUGACUUGAUCCAAGGGCCAUGCACCGGUGUCAUUCCUAGCGGUCUCCUAUAAAAGGGGUACGGCAUCCGGAUCUGACCCA